rnacentral:lncRNA from 1 species
UUAGCUUUGGUGAGCCUCCUUGCUUACGGAGGGUUCCACUUUCACUUUUUCGUUGUUAGGAUCUCAUGGGUCUUGUUCCGAUAAUCCUUCUAUGAUAGUAGAGGCUUCAUAGAUAGUUUAGAGGUCGAGGAAUCUCUCAUUAUUUCCCUUGUUGUUGGAAUAUUUUGAGGUCAUGAGAUAUUUAACUAUAACUUGUUAAAUUAUGUUUAGGCAAUUAUUGGAGUUGAG